AUUGAACGCUGGCGGCAUGCCUUACACAUGCAAGUCGAACGGUAACGCGGGGCAACCUGGCGACGAGUGGCGAACGGGUGAGUAAAGCAUCGGAACGUGCCCAGUAGUGGGGGAUAGCCCGGCGAAAGCCGGAUUAAUACCGCAUACGACCUAUGGGUGAAAGGGGGGGAUCGCAAGACCUCCCGCUAUUGGAGCGGCCGAUGUCAGAUUAGGUAGUUGGUGGGGUAAAGGCCUACCAAGCCGACGAUCUGUAGCUGGUCUGAGAGGACGACCAGCCACACUGGGACUGAGACACGGCCCAGACUCCUACGGGAGGCAGCAGUGGGGAAUUUUGGACAAUGGGCGCAAGCCUGAUCCAGCCAUGCCGCGUGCGGGAAGAAGGCCUUCGGGUUGUAAACCGCUUCUGUCAGGGAAGAAAUCCUUUGGGUUAAUACCUCGGGGGGAUGACGGUACCUGAAGAAUAAGCACCGGCUAACUACGUGCCAGCCGCCGCAGUAA
rnacentral:rRNA from 1 species